rnacentral:rRNA from 1 species
UACGUAGGGUGCAGGCGUUAAUCGGAAUUACUGGGCGUAAAGCGUGCGCAGGCGGUUUGCUAAGACAGGUGUGAAAUCCCCGGGCUUAACCUGGGAACUGCGCUUGUUACUGGCAGGCUUGAGUGUGGCAGAGGGGGGUGGAAUUCCACGUGUAGCAGUGAAAUGCGUAGAGAUGUGGAGGAACACCGAUGGCGAAGGCAGCCCCCCUGGGCUAACACUGACGCCUCAUGCACGAAAGCGUGGGGAGCAAACAGG